CCUACGGGUGGCAGCAGUGGGGAAUAUUGGACAAUGGGGGGAACCCUGAUCCAGCCAUGCCGCGUGUGGGAAGAAGGCCCUCGGGUUGUAAAGCACUUUCAGUGAGGAAGAACGCCUGGUGGUUAAUACCCAUCAGGAAAGACAUCACUCACAGAAGAAGCACCGGCUAACUCCGUGCCAGCAGCCGCGGUAAUACGGAGGUUGCGAGCGUUAAUCGGAAUUACUGGGCGUAAAGCGCGCGUAGGUGGCUUGAUAAGCCGGUUGUGAAAGCCCCGGGCUCAACCUGGGAACGGCAUCCGGAACUGUCAAGCUAGAGUGCAGGAGAGGACGGUAGCAUUCCCGGUGUAGCGGUGAAAUGCGUAGAGAUCGGGAGGAAUACCAGUGGCGAAGGCGGCCUUCUGGACUGACACUGACACUGAGGUGCGAAAGCGUGGGUAGCAAACAGGAUUAGAUACCCCUGUAGUC
rnacentral:rRNA from 1 species